AUUGAACGCUGGCGGCAGGCUUAACACAUGCAAGUCGAGCGAGCGGCGGACGGGUGAGUAAUGUCUGGGAAACUGCCUGAUGGAGGGGGAUAACUACUGGAAACGGUAGCUAAUACCGCAUACCAUCAGAUGUUCCCAGAUGGGAUUAGCUAGUAGGUGGGGUAAUGGCUCACCUAGGCGACGAUACCUAGCUGGUCUGAGAGGAUGACCGGUCACACGGUCGUUGAGACACUGUCCAGACUCCUACGGUGGGCAGCGGGGGGGAAUAUUGCGCAAUGUGCGGUAGGCUGAUGCGGCCAUGGGGGGUGUGUGUGAAGGGGCUUCGGGUUGUGAAGCACUUCCAUCGAGGAGGCGUUACCCGAAGAAGAAGCACCGGCUAACUCCGUGCCAGCAGCCGCGGUAAUAC
rnacentral:rRNA from 1 species